UUUUUCUGUCUCCAUCCACUAAAGGUUGUAUGUUUAUGAGUUAUAAUAUUCUUGGAAGAAAGGAACAACUCAACUAUUGGUGUUUGCAUGAGUUGGGGUUACCAUACGCUAACAAAAAGCCUUGUCAUGUGAAAUGUCUCUUUCUAAACCUGAGUAUUGUUUUACAGAUGAUGAAGCUGUGACAUUUGCUGAGCAAGAGUAUGUGAUAACAAAUGCAGGGAUUACCUACUGCAAAUCAAAGUUUCAGUUGACGGAAUGUGAUUAUCAGAAGGCAAGAGACUAUUUAAUAAAAACUUAAGCAAAAGCAAAGUCCUAGAUGAAGAUAUAAUGAUCCAGUGUUUCAAUUGUAGGAUCAAAGAAUUUAAUGAUUUUACAAAACUUUUAAUUGAAAUUAGAAGAUAAUAAAGUUAUUAAAUAAUUUUGUAUUCAGAUAUAAUAAUUCUCACAUACCCCAUACCUAUAAUACAAAGGAACAGAAAUAAGAAACAUACAGGGAUUUUUUUUUUAAUAACAAAUACAGGAAUUACCUACUGCAAAUCGAAGUUUUAGUUGAAAGAAUGUAAUUAUCAGAAGGUUAGAGACUAUUUAAUGAAAACUUAAGCAAAAGCAAAGUUCCAGAUGAAGGUAUAAUAACACAUUUUUUCUUUGAAUAAUAAAUGAAUUAUCCUUUUCUAAAAGUAAAAUAUAGUUUGUUAGUAGUGGUUAAUCACCUUUUAAUGUUAAAUUUUCUCUUGAAUAGAUAACCUCAUCUCUCUCCCAAAUUUAUAAAAUACAAUCAAUCAUAUAGAAUAAAGUCAUAUGUAUAAAAAAUAAAAAAAAAUAUUAAUUAAUUAUCAUAUUUUAAAAAUUAACACAUCUAUUUAUUAAAAUAUAUAUAUAUAUCAUUUAUUAUUAAAUUAUUGUCCUACGUAGAAUUGCUUCCCUAGUGCAACGGGUCUCUCUCUCUGUUGCAUUGCAUGUCUGAUCCCUUAACAUGGCCAAGGCAUGAAUUUAUUCAAAUAUAGAAAAUAAAAAAAAAAAAAUCUAAAACUAGGAAACUGUCCACCUGGCAUAUUGCCGUAUCCUCUCCCCUUCAUUUCCCAGCUUCAUCAAACUCUCAAUUCUCUAUUCUCUAUCUCUAUCUCACCCAACGGAGUAUAGAGGCGCCCCACGACACAGAGGGAGAGGGAGAGGGAGAGAGAGACAUUCUUGGAAGAUGAAGAUAUAUACAAAGCCCAUAUCCAGCCCGGGUCGGACCGAGAAUUAUCCGCCACCAUUGANN
rnacentral:lncRNA from 1 species